rnacentral:rRNA from 1 species
CCUACGGGAGGCUGCAGUGGGGAAUAUUGGACAAUGGGGGCAACCCUGAUCCAGCCAUGCCGCGUGUGUGAAGAAGGCCCUCGGGUUGUAAAGCACUUUCAGUGAGGAAGAACGCCUGGUGGUUAAUACCCAUCAGGAAAGACAUCACUCACAGAAGAAGCACCGGCUAACUCCGUGCCAGCAGCCGCGGUAAUACGGAGGGUGCGAGCGUUAAUCGGAAUUACUGGGCGUAAAGCGCGCGUAGGUGGCUUGAUAAGCCGGUUGUGAAAGCCCCGGGCUCAACCUGGGAACGGCAUCCGGAACUGUCAAGCUAGAGUGCAGGAGAGGAAGGUAGAAUUACCGGUGUAGCGGUGAAAUGCGUAGAGAUCGGGAGGAAUACCAGUGGCGAAGGCGGCCUUCUGGACUGACACUGACACUGAGGUGCGAAAGCGUGGGUAGCAAACAGGAUUAGAUACCCCAGUAGUC